AAUAAUGUGGUUGCCUAGAAGAGACAUCUGACACAGAAAUGAAAGAGAAGUGCUGCUUGCUGAAAUUUACUAGACAUAAUGGAUAUGAAUAUUUUAAACUGAACCUAUAUACAGUACAGUAAGAAAAGGAACAUCUGCUACAUACAAUAUGUGGCUGGAGGGUUUGGGAAGGGGAAGAGUUGAGGGCUGACACUGAUCAGCUGGACACCAUCCAGAAAAGGGGGCUUAAGGGGGGGGAGAUCUCAUUGCUGUAGCAGCCUAGGCUUGCAUUAGGGACAGUGUGGGAAUGAAUGAUGAAGUCUGGAUAGGAUGCAGACUGACACCAUGUGCAGGCAGAGUUAGCAAAUUGGGCUCCUGCAGAAGAGAGCAAAAAGAGGAACAGGAUAGAGGAGACAAAACAAUAGAUAUAAGCGAGGGCUGUGGAGUGGAGUGAGUUAAAUAUUCUACCAGAAACGGACUGAGAAGGGGGAAGGAAAGAGAACAGUGGGUGAGGUUAGGAAGAGAAAGAGAUAAGGGAAAGAAACUAAUCUACUACAGUUGCUGACAUCAGGAGACCUGAUCCAUAUGGUGGGUGCCACUUCUUUUUGGUGGAACCGAAGAAGGAACUCUGAUCUUGGAUGAACGGGAUGAAGGCAGCAGAAUUACCACUUUCUGGACUGACCUCUUCAGAUCUCAGAAGCAAAGCACAACUGGCCCUGUACUAGAUGUGAAAUUCAAGACUGCUAAAUCACCUGUCACGAGUACUACAGUGAUAAAAUCUUACAUCCAGUCAACCGAGACAAUAUUCAUGCUUACAUUCAGCUAACCAUUAGCCAAGCAAGCAGGAACUUUGUUGAAUCUGGUACAGUAUAUUCGGGAGAAUGAUCAAAACUAAAAAAAACAAAAACAAAUGGUGUAUAAAGAGACACUUUUUCUCAGUUGCCUGGCUAUGCUUUGCUGUUUCAGCUAGGUGAGUCUGCUGGUUUUACUUGAGAAAAGAAAACAAAGCGGUGCUGUUUAGUGGUGUGUCAGGGCUCAUUUGGCACUAGUCCUACUACAGAAGGUGACGAAAUCUGGAGAGCGUUGAAUUCUCCCCAAGCGGCAGGUCUCGCCUGUGGCGUAGUGGAAUUCUCCAUGGUCUGGGGGGGGGUGGUGCUCUGUGGCUUUGAAAACAGACUUGAUGGUGAGCCGUUGUGAUUGAAUCCUGGUGGGGGCAGAGCAGCACUCAUCACAUUGGUUUGACUUGGAUCAUAGACACUGAUGCCUAUUAGCUGCUGAGGAGCAGGAGGAAUUUAGAGGUGGAAAGUUUAACUGGGUUCAUUUGGCUUGUAAAAGAAAGUCACAUCAUUUCCUUGGAACCUGGAUACUGUUGAAUUUUCCUGAAACAGAAGGCCUGGCCUUUUGGCAUAGCAGAUUACAAUUCUUUCUGUGAUGCGACUCUGUGUUGCUCUGGAGCUGGAGGUGCUUGUGAGUGUAUGUGAUCGGAUUCCAGGGAGUACUUUACAACUUUGAUACCCUCACUAUGAUCGAUGCCAUUCAAAGGUUGAGGCUUCAGCUGCAAACAAGUAAAACCCAGGAGGAGGAGAAUAAAACAGAACACAUUUGUUAAUGUGCCUGUCACAGAAAUUGAUACCACCUUCUUGGGACUUGAAUAGGGUCGAUCACUCCUGUGGUGAGAGUGAUGCUGUUCACCUUUGAAUCUGGAAUUGAGCAGCUAUGAUUGAAAAACAGUAAGUGCAGAGCUGCAUUCAUCACAGUGACAAAGAGAACAUGAUGCAUUAAUGAGACAUUACAUUUUUGAUGUAUAUAAAAAAAAUCUGUAUCUAUUGUUAAUAUUUGGGCCUUUAGAAGGAAGUCUUUACACUAUCAAUAUACAUGGAAAAUGUAAACUGUUAUUGUACAUUCAACUUUUAAGAAAAAGAGGCUUUUAUUUACAGUAUGUGUUAGAGAAGUACAUCUGUAGAACAGAAAACCAAGCAUAAAAAUAGUCAAUUCACUGGAAUACAACAAUAAAUAUUUUGUUUAGUUUCUUUGGUUAACCAACAGCUGCUAAAAAUAAAAGUGAGGC